rnacentral:rRNA from 1 species
CCUACGGGAGGCAGCAGUGGGGAAUAUUGGGCAAUGGGCGCAAGCCUGACCCAGCAACGCCGCGUGAAGGAAGAAGGCUUUCGGGUUGUAAACUUCUUUUCUCAGGGACGAAGCAAGUGACGGUACCUGAGUAAUAAGCCACUGCUACCUACGUGCCAGCAGCCGCUGUAAUCCGUAGGUGGCCAGCGUUAUCCGGAUUUACUGGGUGUAAGGGGCGUGUAGGCGGGAAAGCAAGUCAGAUGUGAAAACCAUGGGCUCAACCUGUGGCCUGCAUUUGAAACUGUUUUUCUUGAGUACUGGAGAGGCAGACGGAAUUCCUAGUGUAGCGGUGAAAUGCGUAGAUAUUAGGAGGAACACCAGUGGCGAAGGCGGCCUGCUGAGCUUUUACUGACGCUGAGGCUCGAAAGUGUGGGGAGCAAACAGGAUUAGAUACCCCAAUAGUC